rnacentral:lncRNA from 1 species
AUUAGGUUUUGGGGCUAGGGUAAGGUUUAAGGUUUUUGGCGUUAGGGUUAAAAUCACUGUCCAAAACCUUUUAAGGAACAUGUUUAUGACCUUUUGGAGUUGGUUACACCAAAAAAAAUGUAAAAUGAAAAAAAAAUAUUUGGGGUGUUCGGGCUUCCUGAAGGUAAUACCCGGGUAUUAGGUUAUGGGGCUAGGAUAAGGUUUAAGGUUUUUGGCGUAAGGGUUAAAAUCACUGUCCAAUAUUUUUUAAGGAACAUGUUUCAGACCUUUUGGAGUUAGUUAGACAAAAAAAAAAAGAUAAAUGAAAAAAUAUAUAUUCGGGGUCUUCGGGCUUCCUGAAGGUAAUACCUGGGCUAUAGGUUAUGGGGCUAGGGUAAGGUUUAAGGUUUUUGGCGUGAGGGUUAAAAUCACUGUCCAAAACCUUUGUAGGAAGUCUUUGCCAACCUUUUGGAGUUAGUUAGACAAAAAAAAAAAGAUAAAUGAAAAGAAAAUAUUUGGGGUUUUUUGGCUUCCGGAAGGUAAAACCGGGUAUUAGGUUAUGGGGCUUUGGAAAGGUUUAAGGUUUUUGGCGUGAGAGUUAAAAUCACUGUCCAAAACCUUUGUAGGAAGUCUUUUCCAACCUUUUGGAGUUAGUUAGACCAAUAAAAAAAUGAAAAAUGAAAAAAAAAAAUUUGGGGUGUUCGGGCUUCCUGAAGGUAAUAAUAGGUAAUAAUAGUAUUAGGUUUUGGGACUAGGAUUAGGUUUAAGGUUUUUGGCGUUAGGGUUAAAAUCACUGUCCAAUAUUUUUUAAGGAACAUGUUUCAGACCUUUUGGAGUUAGUUAGACCAAAAAAAAGAAAAAAGAAAAAAAAAUAUUUGGGGUUUUCGGGCUUCCUGAAGGUAAUACCCGGGUAUUAGGUUUUGGGGCUAGGUUAAGGUUUAAGGUUUUUGGCGUUAGGGUUAAAAUCACUGUCCAAAACCUUUUAAGGAACAUGUUUCAGACCUUUGGGAGUUGGUUACACCAAAAAAAAAUGAAAAAUGAAAAAAAAUAUAUUUGGGGUGUUCGGGCUUCCUGAAGGUAAUACCCGGGUAUUAGGUUAUGGGGCUAGGGUAAGGUUUAAGGUUUUUGGUGUGAGGGUUAAAAUCACUGUCCAAAACCUUUGUAGGAACAUGUUUCAGACCUUUUGGAGUUGGUUACACCAAAAAAAAUGUAAAAUGAAAAAAAAAAUAUUUGGGGUGUUCGGGCUUCCUGAAGGUAUUACCCGGGUAUUAGGUUUUGGGGCUAGGGUAAGGUUUAAGGUUUUUGGUGUUAGGGUUAAAAUCACUGUCCAAAACCUUUGUAGGAACUCUUUUCAGACCUUUUGGAGUUAGUUAGACCAAAAAAAAAUGAAAAAUGAAAAAAAAUAUAUUUGGGGUGUUCGGGCUUCCUGAAGGUAAUACCCGGGUAUUAGGUUAUGGGGCUAGGGUAAGGUUUAAGGUUUUUGGCGUUAGGGUUAAAAUCACUGUCCAAAACCUUUGUAGGAACUCUUUUCCAACCUUUUGGAGUUAGUUAGACCAAAAAAACGAAAAAUGAAAAAAAAAAUAUUUGGGGUUUUUGGGCUUCCUGAAGGUAAUACCCGGGUAUUAGGUUAUGGGGCUAGGGUAAGGUUUAAGGUUUUUGGCGUUAGGGUUAAAAUCACUGUCCAAAACCUUUUUAGGAACAUGUUUAAGACCUUUUGGAGUUGGUUACACCAAAAAAAAUGUAAAAAGAAAAAAUAUAUAUUUGGGGUGUUCGGGCUUCCUGAAGGUAAUACCCGGGUAUUAGGUUAUGGGGCUAGGGUAAGGUUUAAGGUUUUUGGCGUUAGGGUUAAAAUCACUGUCCAAAACCUUUUUAGGAACAUGUUUCAGACCUUUGGGAGUUAGUUAGACAAAAAAAAAAGAAAAAGAAAAAAAAAAUAUUUGGGGUGUUCGGGUUUCCUGAAGGUAAUACCCGGGUAUUAGGUUUUGGGGCUAGGGUAAGGUUUAAGGUUUUUGGCGUUAGGGUUAAAAUCACUGUCCAAAACCUUUUAAGGAACAAGAUUCAGACCUUUUGGAGUUGGUUACACCAAAAAAAAUUUAACAUGACAAAAAAAAUAUUUGGGGUGUUCGGGCUUCCUGAAGGUAAUACCCGGGUAUUAGGUUAUGGGGCUAGGGUAAGGUUUAAGGUUUUUGGCGUAAGGGUUAAAAUCACUGUCCAAAAUUUUUUAGGAACAUGUUUCAGACCUUUUGGAGUUAGUUAGACAAAAAAAAAAGAAAAAUGAAAAAAAAUAUUUGGGGUGUUCGGGCUUCCUGAAGGUAAUACCCGGGUAUUAGGUUAUGGGGCUAGGGUAAGGUUUAAGGUUUUUGGCGUUAGAGUUAAAAUCAGUGUCCAAAACCUUUUUAGGAACAUGUUUCAGACCUUUUGGAGUUGGUUACACCAAAAAAAAUGUAAAAUGAAAAAAAAUAUAUUUGGGGUGUUCGGGCUUCCUGAAGGUAAUACCCGGGUAUUAGGUUUUGGGGCUAGGGUAAGGUUUAAGGUUUUUGGCGGUAGGGUUAAAAUCACUGUCCAAAACCUUUGUAGGAACUCUUUUCCAACCUUUUGGAGUUAGUUAGACCAAAAAAAAAAGAUAAAUGAAAAAAAAAAUAUUUGGGGUCUUCGGGUUUCCUGAAGGAAUUAGGUUUUGGGGCUAGGGUAAGGUUUAAGGUUUUUGGCGUUAGGGUUAAAAUCACUGUCCAAAACCUUUUAAGGAACAAGAUUCAGACCUUUUGGAGUUGGUUACACCAAAAAAAAUGUAAAAUGACAAAAAAAAUAUUUGGGGUGUUCAGGCUUCCUGAAGGUAAUACCCUUCAGGUUUCAGUAUUAGGUUAUGGGGCUAGGAUUAGGUUUAAGGUUUUUGGCAUAAGGGUUAAAAUCACUGUCCAAUAUUUUUUCAGGAACAUGUUUCAGACCUUUGGGAGUUAGUUAGACCAAAAAAAACAAAAUAUAUAUAUAUAUAUAUUUGGGGUCUUAGGGCUUCCUGAAGGAAAUACCCAGGUAUAGGUUAUGGGGCUAUAGUAAGGUUAAAGGUUUUUGGCGUAAGGGUUAAAAUCACUGUCCAAAACCUUUGUAGGAACUCUUUUCCAACCUUUUGGAGUUAGUUAGACCACAAAAAAAAGAAAAAUGAAAAAAAAAUAUUUGGGGUUUUUGGGCUUCCUGAAGGUAAUACCCGGGUAUUAGGUUAUGGGGCUAGGGUAAGGUUUAAGGUUUUUGGCGUUAGGUUUAAAAUCACUGUCCAAAACCUUUUUAGGAACAUGUUUAAGACCUUUUGGAGUUGGUUACAGCAAAAAAAAUGUAAAAAGAAAAAAUAUAUAUUUGGGGUGUUCGGGCUUCCUGAAGGUAAUACCCGGGUAUUAGGUUUCGGGGCAAGGGUUAGGUUUAAGGUUUUUGGCGUUAGGGUUAAAAUAACUGUCCAAUAUUUUUUUAAGGAACAUGUUUCAGACCUUUGGGAGUUAGUUAGACAAAAAAAAGAAAAAGAAAAAAAAUAUAUUUGGGGUGUUCGGGUUUCCUGAAGGUAAUACCCGGGUAUUAGGUUAUGGGGCUAGGGUAAGGUUUAAGGUUUUUGGCGUUAGAGUAAAAUGAAAAAAAAAUAUAUUUGGGGUCUUCGGGCUUCCUGAAGGUAAUACCCGGGUAUUAGGUUUUGGGGCUAGGGUAAGGUUUAAGGUUUUUGGAGUUAGGGUUAAAAUCACUGUCCAAAACCUUUGUAGGAACUCUUUUCCGACCUUUUGGAGUUAGUUAGACCAAAAAAAAAGAAAAAAGAAAAAAAUAUAUUUGGGGUCUUCGGGCUUCCUGAAGGAAAUACCCGGGUAUGAGGUUAUGGGGCUAGGGUAAGGUUUAAGGUUUUUGGCGUUAGGGUUAAAAUCACUGUCCAAAACCUUUGUAGGAACUCUUUUCCAACCUUUUGGAGUUAGUUAGACCAAAAAAAAAGAAAAAAGAAAAAAAUAUAUUUGGGGUCUUCGGGCUUCCUGAAGGUAAUACCCGGGUAUUAGGUUAUGGGGCUAGGGUAAGGUUUAAGGUUUUUGGCGUUAGGGUUAAAAUCACUGUCCAAAACCUUUGUAGGAACUCUUUUCCAACCUUUUGGAGUUAGUUAGACCAAAAAAAAACGAAAAAUGAAAAAAAAAUAUUUGGGGUUUUUGGGCUUCCUGAAGGUAAUACCCGGGUAUUAGGUUAUGGGGCUAGGGUAAGGUUUAAGGUUUUUGGCGUUAGGUUUAAAAUCACUGUCCAAAACCUUUUUAGGAACAUGUUUAAGACCUUUUGGAGUUGGUUACACCAAAAAAAAUGUAAAAAGAAAAAAUAUAUAUUUGGGGUGUUCGGGCUUCCUGAAGGUAAUACCCGGGUAUUAGGUUAUGGGGCUAGGUUAAGGUUUAAGGUUUUUGGCGUGAGGGUUAAAAUCACUGUCCAAAACCUUUGUAGGAAGUCUUUUCCAACCUUUUGGAGUUAGUUAGACAAAAAAAAAAAGAAAAAUGAAAAAAAAAUAUUUGGGGUGUUCGGGCUUCCUGAAGGUAAUACCCGGGUAUUAGGUUAUGGGGCUAGGGUAAGGUUUAAGGUUUUUGGCGUAAGGGUUAAAAUCACUGUCCAAAACCUUUUUAGGAACAUGUUUCAGACCUUUUGGAGUUGGUUACACCAAAAAAAAUGUAAAAUGAAAAAAAAUUUUUUUGGGGUGUUCGGGCUUCCUGAAGGUAAUACUAGGUUUCUGGGCUAGGGUAAGGUUUAAGGUUUUUGGCGUUAGGGUUAAAAUCAAUGUCCAAAACCUUUGUAGGAACUCUUUUCCAACCUUUGAGAGCAAGUUAGACCAAAACAAAAAGAAAAAUAAAAAAUAUAUAUUUGGGGUGUUCGGGCUUCCUGAAGGUAAUACCCGGGUAUUAGGUAGGGAUGCACGAUAUUUAUCGGACCGAUAAAAUAUCGGCCGAUUUGGGGGGAAAUUACGUCAUUUUUUAUCGGUCCGAUAGGUGCAUUUUUCCGAUAGAAAGAUCCGAUAUAUUAAUGAAAUUACGAGUAACAUUUGCAGGCGGAGUAGCCGCCCGUCCGAGACGCGCUGGUUACGUCAUCUAUCGCGCCUUACUCGCAGGUCCCAAGCCUGACCCCGUCACUACCUGACAGAUAAUAAAAUGUCUUCACCAGCAUGGUCGUUUCUCUCAGUGGCAGAAGAUGACAACAGCAUUGCUAUAUGCAAAACCUGUUCAGCGAGGAUUCCGAGAGGAGGAAAGAAGACGUCAAGUAUUAACACAGCGAAUCUGAUAGCUCAUCUGAAAAGUCGCCAUCGCGGCGAAGCGGUAAUAAAAGAAUAUGAGACAGCCGCCGAAGCUGCUAGCGGUACUAAAGCUAAGACAACAACACUACGGAGGAUCGAUGUCCCCAUUCAGCGGGCGUUUAAAAACUGCAAAAGCUUCUCAAGAGACAGCGAAAAGGCUAAAGCCAUUAAUGACAAAGUGAUGGAGUUCAUAGCGGUCGACGACCAGCCUUUUUCCGUCGUUGAGAACCCGGGUUUUCGUAAGUUCAUAGCACACUUGGAGCCACGUUACACUCUCCCAAGCCGCCGCUUCUUCUCGGAUGUGUCUCUUCCUGCACUCUAUGAUAUUGUCGCCACAUACAUUCACAACCUGAUCGACAAGAAUGGACUACACGUGAGUUUUACCACAGACAUAUGGACGUCAGAUGUUAGUCAGGUCAGCAUGCUAAGCCUAACGUCUCAUAAUAGCUCCUUUACAGUUUACAGUUCUGUUGAACCGUUCAGGGGAUCAAAUGAAGUUCUGCUUUUUGCUCUGUUAUUGUUAUUUAUAGCAAAUGACCACAUUUGAAGAGCCAAAAACUUUUGUUUGUUGUUCUAGAUAGGCCAGAGCAACAAAAAGAUCAGUUUUCAAUCGCUGCAUCCUGCACAAACUGCAGAUUAUAUGAAGAUUAUAAUAAAUGUAAAAAUAUGAAUUUAUCGGUUAUCGGUAUCGGUAUCGGUAUCGGCCAUGAGAAGAAGAAAAUUAUCGGUUAUCGGUAUCGGUUGAAAUUUUUCAUAUCGUGCAUCACUAGUAUUAGGUUAUGGGGCUAGGGUAAGGUUUAAGGUUUUUCGGCGUGAGGGUAAAAAUCACUGUCCAAAACCUUUGUAGGAACUCUUUUCCAACCUUUGGGAAUUAGUUAGACAAAAAAAAAAGAUAAAUGAAAAAAAAAUAUUUGGGGUGUUCGGGCUUCCUGAAGGUAAUACCCGGGUAUGAGGUUAAGGGGCUAGGGUUAGGUUUAAGGUUUUUGGCGUUAGGGUUAAAAUAACUGUCCAAUAUUUUUUAAGGAACAUGUUUCAGACCUUUGGGAGUUAGUUAGACAAAAAAAAAGAAAAAGAAAAAAAAAUAUUUGGGGUGUUCGGGCUUCCUGAAGGUAAUACCCGGGUAUUAGGUUAUGGGGCUAGGGUAAGGUUUAAGGUUUUUGGCGUUAGGGUUAAAAUCACUGUCCAAAACCUUUGUAGGAACUAUUUUCCAACCUUUUGGAGUUAGUUAGACCAAAAAAAAAAUGAAAAAAUGAAAAAAAUAUUUGGGGUGUUCGGGCUUCCUGAAGGUAAUACCCGGGUAUUAGGUUUUGGGGCUAGGGUUAGGUUUAAGGUUUUUGGCGUUAGGGUUAAAAUCACUGUCCAAUAUUUUUUAAGGAACAUGUUUCAGACCUUUGGGAGUUAGUUAGACAAAAAAAAAAAAAAAAAAAGAAAAAAAAAUAUUUGGGGUGUUCGGGCUUCCUGAAGGUAAUACCCGGGUAUUAGGUUAUGGGGCUAGGGUAAGGUUUAAGGUUUUUGGCGUUAGAGUUAAAAUCAGUGUCCAAAACCUUUUUAGGAACAUGUUUAAGACCUUUUGGAGUUGGUUACACCAAAAAAAAUGUAAAAUGAAAAAAAAAAUAUUUGGGGUGUUCGGGCUUCCUGAAGGUAAUACCCGGGUAUUAGGUUUUGGGGCUAGGGUAAGGUUUAAGGUUUUUGGCGUUAGGGUUAAAAUCACCGUCCAAAACCUUUGUAGGAACUCUUUUCCGACCUUUUGGAGUUAGUUAGACCAAAAAAAAAGAAAAAAGAAAAAAAUAUAUUUGGGGUCUUCGGGCUUCCUGAAGGAAAUACCCGGGUAUGAGGUUAUGGGGCUAGGGUAAGGUUUAAGGUUUUUGGCGUUAGGGUUAAAAUCACUGUCCAAAACCUUUGUAGGAACUCUUUUCCAACCUUUUGGAGUUAGUUAGACCACAAAAAAAAGAAAAAUGAAAAAAAUAUAUUUGGGGUCUUCGGGCUUCCUGAAGGUAAUACCCGGGUAUUAGGUUAUGGGGCUAGGGUAAGGUUUAAGGUUUUUGGCGUUAGGGUUAAAAUCACUGUCCAAAACCUUUGUAGGAACUCUUUUCCAACCUUUUGGAGUUAGUUAGACCAAAAAAAAACGAAAAAUGAAAAAAAAAUAUUUGGGGUUUUUGGGCUUCCUGAAGGUAAUACCCGGGUAUUAGGUUAUGGGGCUAGGGUAAGGUUUAAGGUUUUUGGCGUUAGGGUUAAAAUCACUGUCCAAAACCUUUUUAGGAACAUGUUUAAGACCUUUUGGAGUUGGUUACACCAAAAAAAAUGUAAAAAGAAAAAAUAUAUAUUUGGGGUGUUCGGGCUUCCUGAAGGUAAUACCCGGGUAUUAGGUUAUGGGGCUAGGGUAAGGUUUAAGGUUUUUGGCGUGAGGGUUAAAAUCACUGUCCAAAACCUUUGUAGGAAGUCUUUUCCAACCUUUUGGAGUUAGUUAGACAAAAAAAAAAAAAAUAAAAAAAAAAUAUUUGGGGUGUUCGGGCUUCCUGAAGGUAAUACCCGGGUAUUAGGUUAUGGGGCUAGGGUAAGGUUUAAGGUUUUUGGCGUUAGGGUUAAAAUCACUGUCCAAAACCUUUUUAGGAACAUGUUUCAGACCUUUUGGAGUUAGUUAGACCAAAAAAAAAUGAAAAAUGAAAAAAAAAAUAUUUGGGGUUUCGGGCUUCCUGAAGGUAAUACUAGGUUUUGGGGCUAGGGUAAGGUUUAAGGUUUUUGGCGUUAGGGUUAAAAUCACUGUCCAAAACCUUUGUAGGAACUCUUUUCCAACCUUUUGGAGUUGGUUACACCAAAAAAAAUGUAAAAUGAAAAAAUAUAUAUUUGGGGUGUUCGGGCUUCCUGAAGGUAAUACCCGGGUAUUAGGUAGGGAUGCACGAUAUUUAUCGGACCGAUAAAAUAUCGGCCGAUUUGGGGGGAAAUUACGUCAUUUUUUAUCGGUCCGAUAGGUGCAUUUUUCCGAUAGAAAGAUCCGAUAUAUUAAUGAAAUUACGAGUAACAUUUGCAGGCGGAGUAGCCGCCCGUCCGAGACGCGCUGGUUACGUCAUCUAUCGCGCCUUACUCGCAGGUCCCAAGCCUGACCCCGUCACUACCUGACAGAUAAUAAAAUGUCUUCACCAGCAUGGUCGUUUCUCUCAGUGGCAGAAGAUGACAACAGCAUUGCUAUAUGCAAAACCUGUUCAGCGAGGAUUCCGAGAGGAGGAAAGAAGACGUCAAGUAUUAACACAGCGAAUCUGAUAGCUCAUCUGAAAAGUCGCCAUCGCGGCGAAGCGGUAAUAAAAGAAUAUGAGACAGCCGCCGAAGCUGCUAGCGGUACUAAAGCUAAGACAACAACACUACGGAGGAUCGAUGUCCCCAUUCAGCGGGCGUUUAAAAACUGCAAAAGCUUCUCAAGAGACAGCGAAAAGGCUAAAGCCAUUAAUGACAAAGUGAUGGAGUUCAUAGCGGUCGACGACCAGCCUUUUUCCGUCGUUGAGAACCCGGGUUUUCGUAAGUUCAUAGCACACUUGGAGCCACGUUACACUCUCCCAAGCCGCCGCUUCUUCUCGGAUGUGUCUCUUCCUGCACUCUAUGAUAUUGUCGCCACAUACAUUCACAACCUGAUCGACAAGAAUGGACUACACGUGAGUUUUACCACAGACAUAUGGACGUCAGAUGUUAGUCAGGUCAGCAUGCUAAGCCUAACGUCUCAUAAUAGCUCCUUUACAGUUUACAGUUCUGUUGAACCGUUCAGGGGAUCAAAUGAAGUUCUGCUUUUUGCUCUGUUAUUGUUAUUUAUAGCAAAUGACCACAUUUGAAGAGCCAAAAACUUUUGUUUGUUGUUCUAGAUAGGCCAGAGCAACAAAAAGAUCAGUUUUCAAUCGCUGCAUCCUGCACAAACUGCAGAUUAUAUGAAGAUUAUAAUAAAUGUAAAAAUAUGAAUUUAUCGGUUAUCGGUAUCGGUAUCGGUAUCGGUAUCGGCCAUGAGAAGAAGAAAAUUAUCGGUUAUCGGUAUCGGUUGAAAUUUUUCAUAUCGUGCAUCACUAGUAUUAGGUUAUGGGGCUAGGGUAAGGUUUAAGGUUUUUCGGCGUGAGGGUAAAAAUCACUGUCCAAAACCUUUGUAGGAACUCUUUUCCAACCUUUGGGAAUUAGUUAGACAAAAAAAAAAGAUAAAUGAAAAAAAGAUAUUUGGGGUGUUCGGGCUUCCUGAAGGUAAUACCCGGGUAUGAGGUUAUGGGGCUAGGGUUAGGUUUAAGGUUUUUGGCGUUAGGGUUAAAAUAACUGUACAAUAUUUUUUAAGGAACAUGUUUCAGACCUUUGGGAGUUAGUUAGACAAAAAAAAAAGAAAAAGAAAAAAAAUAUAUUUGGGGUGUUCGGGUUUCCUGAAGGUAAUACCCGGGUAUUAGGUUAUGGGGCUAGGGUAAGGUUUAAGGUUUUUGGUGUUAGGGUUAGAAUCACUGUCCAAAACCUUUGUAGGAACUCUUUUCCGACCUUUUGGAGUUAGUUAGACUAAAAAAAAAGAAAAAAGAAAAAAAUAUAUUUGGGGUCUUCGGGCUUCCUGAAGGUAAUACCCGGGUAUUAGGUUUUGGGGCUAGGGUAAGGUUUAAGGUUUUUGGCGUUAGGGUUAAAAUCACUGUCCAAAACCUUUGUAGGAACUAUUUUCCAACCUUUUGGAGUUAGUUAGACCAAAAAAAAAACGAAAAAUGAAAAAAAAUAUUUGGGGUUUUCGGGCUUCCUGAAGGUAAUACCCGGGUAUUAGGUUUUGGGGCUAGGGUUAGGUUUAAGGUUUUUGGUGUUAGGGUUAAAAUCACUGUCCAAUAUUUUUUAAGGAACAUGUUUCAGACCUUUGGGAGUUAGUUAGACAAAAAAAAAAAAAAAAAGAAAAAAAAAUUUGGGGUGUUCGGGCUUCCUGAAGGUAAUACCCGGGUAUUAGGUUAUGGGGCUAGGGUAAGGUUUAAGGUUUUUGGCGUUAGAGUUAAAAUCAGUGUCCAAAACCUUUUUAGGAACAUGUUUAAGACCUUUUGGAGUUGGUUACACCAAAAAAAAUGUAAAAUGAAAAAAAAAAUAUUUGGGGUGUUCGGGCUUCCUGAAGGUAAUACCCGGGUAUUAGGUUUUGGGGCUAGGGUAAGGUUUAAGGUUUUUGGUGUUAGGGUUAAAAUCACCGUCCAAAACCCUUGUAGGAACUCUUUUCCAACCUUUUGGAGUUAGUUAGACCAAAAAAAAAGAAAAAAGAAAAAAAUAUAUUUGGGGUCUUCGGGCUUCCUGAAGGUAAUACUAGGUUUCUGGGCUAGGGUAAUGUUUAAGGUUUUUGGCGUUAGGGUUACAAUCAAUGUCCAAAACCUUUGUAGGAACUCUUUUCCAACCUUUGAGAGCAAGUUAGACCAAAACAAAAAGAAAAGUAAAAAAUAUAUAUUUGGGUUGUUCGGGCUUCCUGAAGGUAAUACCCGGGUAUUAGGUUAUGGGGCUAGGGAAAGGUUUAAGGUUUUUCGGCGUGAGGGUAAAAAUCACUGUCCAAAACCUUUGUAGGAACUCUUUUCCAACCUUUGGGAAUAAGUUAGACAAAAAAAAUUAGAUAAAUGAAAAAAAAAUAUUUGGGGUGUUCGGGCUUCCUGAAGGUAAUACCCGGGUAUGAGGUUAAGGGGCUAGGGUUAGGUUUAAGGUUUUUGGCGUUAGGGUUAAAAUAACUGUCCAAUAUUUUUUAAGGAACAUGUUUCAGACCUUUGGGAGUUAGUAAGACAAAAAAAAAAGAAAAAGAAAAAAAAUAUAUUUGGGGUGUUCGGGUUUCCUGAAGGUAAUACCUGGGUAUUAGGUUAUGGGGCUAAGGUAAGGUUUAAGGUUUUUGGCGUUAGGGUUAAAAUCAAUGUCCCAAACCUUUGUAGGAACUCUUUUCCAACCUUUGAGAGCAAGUUAAACCAAAACAAAAAGAAAAAUAAAAAAUAUAUAUUUGGGGUGUUCGGGCUUCCUGAAGGUAAUACCCGGGUAUUAGGUUAUGGGGCUGGGGGUAAGGUUUAAGGUUUUUGGCGUUAGGGUUAAAAUAACUGUCCAAUAUUUUUUAAGGAACAUGUUUCAGACCUUUGGGAGUUAGUAAGACAAAAAAAAAAAGAAAAAGAAAAAAAAUAUAUUUGGGGUGUUCGGGUUUCCUGAAGGUAAUACCUGGGUAUUAGGUUAUGGGGCUAGGGUAAGGUUUAAGGUUUUUGGCGUUAGAGUUAAAAUCAGUGUCCAAAACCUUUUUAGGAACAUGUUUAAGACCUUUUGGAGUUGGUUACACCAAAAAAAAAUGUAAAAUGAAAAAAAAAAUAUUUGGGGUGUUCGGGCUUCCUGAAGGUUAUGGGGCUAGGGUAAGGUUUAAGGUUUUUGGUGUUAGGGUUAAAAUCACUGUCCAAAACCUUUGUAGGAACUCUUUUCCAACCUUUUGGAGUUAGUUAGAGCAAAAACUAACGAAAAAUAAAAAAAAAAUAUUUGGGGUUUUUGGGCUUCUGAAGGUAAUACCCGGGUAUUAGGUUUUGGGGCUAGGGUAAGGUUUAAGGUUUUUGGCGUUAGGGUUAAAAUCACUGUCCAAGACCUUUGUAGGAACUCUUUUCCAACCUUUUGGAGUUAGUUAGAGCAAAAACUAACGAAAAAUAAAAAAAAAAUAUUUGGGGUUUUUGGGCUUCUGAAGGUAAUACCCGGGUAUUAGUUUAUGGGGCUAUAGUAAGGUUUAAGGUUUUUGGCGUGAGGGUUAAAAUCACUGUCCAAAACCUUUGUAGGACCUCUUUUCCAACCUUUUGGAGUUAGUUAGACCAAAAAAAAAUGAAAAAUGAAAAAAAAAUAUUUGGGGUUUUUGGGCUUCCUGAAGGUAAUACCCGUGUAUUAGGUUAUGGGGCUAGGGUAAGGUUUAAGGUUUUUGGCGUUAGGUUUAAUAUCACUGUCCAAAACAUUUUUAGGAACAUGUUUAAGACCUUUUGGAGUUGGUUACACCAAAAAAAAUGUAAAAAGAAAAAAUAUAUAUUUGGGUUCAUAUUUGGGUUUUUAUUUCAAGUUCAACAAUUGCAACAACCUCAAGUUCAAAAACCGCCACAAACUCAAGUUCAAAAACACCACAACCUCAAGUUCAAAAAACACCACAAACUCAAGUUCAAACACGACACAAACUGAAGUUCAACAAACACAAAAACUCGAGUUCAAAAACACCACAAACUCAAGUUCAACAAACACCACAAACUCAAGUUCAAAAACAACACAAACUCGAGUUCAAAAACACCACAAAAUCAAGUUCAAACACGUCACACACUCAAGUUCAACAAUUGCCACAACCUCAAGUUCAAAAACACCAAAAACUCAAGUUCAAAAACACCACAACCUCAAGUUCAAAAAACACCACAAACUGAAGUUCAAACACGACACAAACUCAAGUUCAACAAACACACAAACUCAAGUUCAACCAAUACCCAAUUAUCAAGUUCAACAAUUGCCAAAACCUCAAGUUCAGAAACAACAAACUCAAGUUCAAAAAACACACAAACUCAAGUUAAACAAACAAGAAACCUCAAGUUCAAAAACACCACAACCUCAAGAUCAAACACGAAACAAACUCAAGUUCAAUCAACACCCAAAUCUCAAGUUUACGUUUUUCCACAACCUCAAGUUCAAAAACACCACAAACUCGAGUUCAAAAACACCACAAAAUCAUGUUUAAACACGUCACAAACUCAAGUUUAACAAAUGCCACAAACUCAAGUUAAAACUGGACACAAACUGAAGUUCAACAAACACAAAAACUCGAGUUCAAAAACACCACAACCUCAAGUUCAAACACGACACAAACUCAAAUUCCACAAACACCACGAACUCAAGUUCAAAAACACCACAAAAUCAAGUUCAAACACGUCACAAACUCAAGUUCAACAAUUGCCACAACCUCAAGUUCAAAAACCGCCACAAACUCAAGUUCAAAAACACCAAACUCAAGUUCAAAAACACCACAAACUCAAGUUCAAACACGACAAAAACUCAAGUUCAACAAACACACAAACUCAAGUUCAACCAAUACCCAAUUCUCAAGUUUAACAAUUUCCACAACCUCAAGUUCAAAAACACCAACAACUCGAGUUCAAAAACACCACAAAAUCAUGUUUAAACACGUCACAAACUCAAGUUUAACAAAUGCCACAAACUCAAGUUCAACAAUUGCCACCAACUAAAGUUCACUAAAAACAACAGACUCAAGUUCAAUAAUUGCCAAAACCUCAAGUUCAGAAACAAGAAACUCAAGUUCAAAAAACACACAAACUCAAGAUCAACAAACACGCAAACUCAAGUUUAAAAACACCACAACCUCAAGCUCAAAAACGACAUAAACUCAAGUUCAACAAAAACCACAAACUCAAGUUCAAAAAAACCACAAACUCAAGUUCAACCAACACCUGAUUCUCAAGUUUUAACAAUUUUCACAACCUCAAGUUCAAAAACUGCCACAAACUCAAUUAAAAAAUACCACAACCUCAAGUUCAAACACAACACAAGCUGGAGUUCAACAUACACCACAAACUCAAGUUCAACAAAUGGCAAAGUUUUAAGUUCAACCAACACCCAAAUCUCAAGUUUAACAAUUGCAACAACCUCAAGUUCAAACACGCUACGAACUCAAGUCAAAAACACCACAACCUCAAGUUCAAAAAACACCACAAACUCAAGUUCAACCACCACCCAAUCCUCAAGUUUAAAAAUUUCCACAAACUUAAGUUCAAAAAACCACAACCUCAAGUUAAAAAAACCACAAACUCAAGUUCAAACACGCCAAAAACUGAAGUUCAACAAACACAAAAACUCGAGUUCAAAAACACCACAACCUCAAGUUCAAACACGUCACAAACUCAAGUUCAACAAACGCCAUAAACUCAUGUUCAACAAUUGCAACCAACUAAAGUUCACUAAAAACCACAGACUCAAGUUCAACAAUUGCCAAAACCUCAAGUUCAGAAACAACAAACUCAAGUUCAAAAAACACACAAACUCAAGUUAAACAAACAAGAAACCUCAAGUUCAAAAACACCACAACCUCAAGUUCAAACACGAAACAAACUCAAGUUCAACAAAAACCACAAACUCAAGUUCAACAAAUGAAAAACUUUUAAGUUCAACCAACACCCAAAUCUCAAUUUUAGAAAUUGCCACAACCUAAAGUUCAAAAGCAACACAAACUCAAGUUCAAAAACACCACAACCUCAGGCUCAAAAAAACACCACAAACCAAAGUUCAAACACGACACAAACUCAAGUUCAACAAACACACAAACUCAAGUUCAACCAAUACCAAAUUCUCAAGUUUAACAAAUUCCACAACCUCAAGUUCAAAAACACCACAAACUCAAGUUCAACAAAAACCACAAACCCAAGUUCAACAAAUGUCAAACUCAAGUUCAACAAUUGCCACAAACUCAAGUUCAGAAACAACAAACUCAAGUUAAAAAAAAACACAAACUCAAGUUUAACAAACACGCAAACUCAAAUUCAAAAACACCACAAACUCGAGCUCAAACACGACACAAACUCAAGUUAAAAAAAAAAUACUCAAGUUCAAUCAACACCUGAUUCUCAAGUUUAACAAGUUCCACAACCUCAAGUUGAAAAAUAACACAAACUCAAGUACAAAACACAACAAAAUCAAGUUCAAAAACAGCACAACCUCAAGCUUAAAAACUCCACAAACUGAAGUUAAAACACAACACAAUCUCUUGUUCAACAAACACACAAACUCAAGUUCAACCAAUACCCAAUUCUCAAGUUUCACAAUUUCCAACACCUCAAGUUCAAAAAAACCACAAACUUAAGUUCAAAAACACCACAAACUCAAGUUCAACCACGAUUCAAACUCAAGUUCAAAAACACCACAAACUCAAGUUCAAAGACACCAAAAACUAAAGUUCAAAAAACACACAAACUCAAGUUUGAAAACACCACAAACUCAAGUUCAAACAAGACACAAACUUAAGUUCAACAAACACACAAACUCAAGUUCAACAAAUGCCAAACUUUUAAGUUGAACCAACACCCAAAUCUCAAGUUCAACAAUUGCCACAACCUAGAGUUCAACAAACGCCACAAACUCAAGUUCAAACACGAAACAACCUCAAGUUCAAAAACACCACAAACUCAAGUUCAAAAACACAACACACCCUCAAGUUCAAAAACACCAAAAACUCAAGUUCAAAAACACCACAAACAAAGUUCAAACACGAAACAAACUCAAGUUCAAAUACACCACAAACUCAAGUUCAACAAUUGCCACCAAUUAAAGUUCACCAAAAACCACAGACUCAAGUUCAACAAUUGCCACAAACUCAAGUUCAAAAAAAUUAAGUUCAAAAAACACACAAAUUCAAGUUCAACAAACAACACGAACUCAAGUUCAAACACGACACAAACUCAAGUUCAACCAACAACCAAAUCUUAAGUUUAACAAUUGCCACAACCUAAGUUCAACAAACGCCACAACUCAAGUUCAACAAACACACAAACUCAAGUUCAAAAAGACCACAAACUCAAGUUCAAACAUGACACAAACUCAAGUUCAACAAACACACAAACUUAAGUUCAACCAAUACCCAAUUCUCAAGUUUAACAAAUUCCACACCCUCAAGUUCAAAAACACGACAAAAACUCAAGUUCAAAAACACGACACAAACUCAAGUUCAACCAACACCUGAUUCUCAAAUUUAACAAUUUCCACAACCUCAAGUUCAAAAACAACAGAAACCUAAGUUCAAAAAACACAAACUCAAGUUAACCAAACAAGCAAAUUCAAGUUCAAAAACACCACAAACUCAAGUUCAAACACGAAACAAACUCAAGUUCAAAAACCACACAAACUCAAGUUCAAAAAACACACAAACUCUAGUUCAAACCGACACAAACUCAAGUUCAACAAAAACCACAAACUCAAGUUCAAACACGACACAAAAUCAAGCUCAACAAAUGCCACAAACUAAAGUUCAAACAACACAAACUCAAGUUCAACAAACACACUAACUCAAGUUCAAAAACACCACAAUCUCAAGUUCAAACACAAAACAAACUCAAGUUCAAAACACAAAAACUCAAGUUCAAAAACACCACAAACUCAAGUGGUAAAACACCACAAACUCAAGUUCAAACACCACACAAACUCAAGUUCAACAAACACCACAAACUCAAGUUCAAACACGAAACAAACAACUCAAGUUAAAAAACACACAAACUCAAGUUCAAACACGACACAAACUCAAGUUCAACAAAAACCACAAACUCAAGUUCAACAAACACCACAAACUCAAGUUCAACAAACGCAACAAACUCAAGUUCAAACAUGAAACCACCUCAAGUUAAAAAACACAACAAACUCACGUUCAAACACGACACAAACUCAAGUUCAACAAACACAUAACUCAAGUUCAACCAAUUCCCAAAUCUGAAGUUUAAAAAUUGCCACAACGUUAAAUUCAAAAACACCACAAACUCAAGUUCAAACACAACACAAACUCAAGUUCAAUAAACACACAAACUCAAGUUCAACAAACACACAAACUCAAGUUAAAACACGAUACAAACUGAAGUUCAAAAAAAUCAAAAACUAAAGUUCAACCAAUACCCAAUUCUCAAGUUCAACAAACACACAAACUCAAGUUAAAACACGAUACAAACUGAAGUUCAAAAAACGCACAAUCUCAAGUUCAACCAACACCAAUCUCAAGUUUAACAAACCACAAACUCAAGUUCAAAAAAACACAAAUCUCAAGUUCAACCAACACCUGAUCUCAAGUUUAACAAUUUCCACAACCUCAAGUUCAAAAACAACAGAAACCUAAGUUCAAAAAACACAAAAACCCAAGUUAACCAAACACCCAAAUUCAAGUUCAAAAACACCACAAACUCAAGUUCAAACAUGACAAAAACUCAAAUUCAACAAACGCCACAAACUCAAGUUCAAACACGAAACAAACUCAAGUUCAAACACGACACAAACUCAAGUUCAACAAAAACCACAAACUCUAGUUCCAACACGACACAAAAUAAAGCUCAACAAACGCCACAAACGAAAGAUCAAACAAAAAACAAACUCAAGUUCAACAAACACACUAACUCAAGUUCAAAAACACCACAAUCUCAAGUUCAAACACAAAACAAACUCAAGUUCAACAAACACAAAACCUCAAGUUCAAAAACACCACAAACUCAAGUUCAAACACGACAAAAAACUCAAGUUCUACAAACACACUAACUCAAGUUCAACCAACACCUGAUUCUCAAGUUUAAAUUUUUUCCAGAACCUCAAGUACAAAAACAACAGAAAUUCAAGUUCAAAAAACACAAAAACUCAAGUUCACCAAACACGCAACUCAAGUUCAACCAACACACAAACUCAAGUUCAAAAACACCACAAACUCAAGUUCAAACACAACACAAACUCAAGUUCAAAAACACCACAAACUCAAAUUCAAAAACAUCACAAACUCAAGUUAAAACACGAACCAAACUCAAGUUCAACAAAAUCACAAACUCAAGUUCAACCAAUACCCAAUUCUCAAGUUUAACAAUUUCAACAACCUCAAGUUCAAAAACACCAAAAACUCAAGUUCAACAAACACACAAACUCAAGUUCAACCAACACCUGAUUCUCAAGUUUAACAAUUUCCACAACCUCAAGUUCAAAAACAACAGAAACUCAAGUUAACCAAACAGGCAAAUUCAAGUUCAAAAACACCACAAACUCAAGUUCAAACAUGACACAAACUCAAAUUCAACAAACGCCACAAACUCAAGUUCAAACACGAAACAAACUCAAGUUCAAAAACCACACAAACUCAAGUUCAAAACACACACAAUCUCAAGUUCAAACACGACACAAACUCAAGUUCAAAAAAACCAACAAACUCAAGUUCAAACACGACACAAAAUCAAGCUCAAAAAACGCCACAAACUAAAGUUCAAACACAACACAAAAUCAAGUUCAACAAACACACUAACUCAAGUUCAAAAACACCACAAUCUCAAGCUCAAACAUGAAACACACUCAAGUUCAACGAACACAAAAACUCAAGUUCAAAAACAACACAAACUCAUGGUCAAACACGCUACAAACUCAAGUUCAAACACGACACAAACUCAAGUUCAAAACACAAAAAAAUCAAGUUCAACCAAUACCCAAUUCUCAAGUUUAACAAUUUCCACAAUCUCAAGUUCAAAAACAACACAUGCUCAAGUUCAAAAACACCAAAAAUCAAGUUCAAAAACGAGACAAACUCAUGUUCAACAAAAACCACAAACUCAAGUUCAACCAUUACCUGAUUCUCAAGUUUAAAAAUUUUCACAACCUCAAGUUCAAAAAACACACAAACUCAAUUCAAAAAACAACACGAGACAAAGUUCCAACACGACACAAACUCAAGUUCAACAAACACUAACUCAAGUUCAUCAAACACCUGAUUCUCAAGUUUAACAAUUUCCAAAAACUCAAGUUCAAAAACACCAAAAACUCAAGUUCAACCAAUACCAAUUUCUCAAUAUAACAUAUUCCACACCCUCAAGUUCAAAAACACCACAAACCCAAGUUCAACCAACACCCAAAUCUCAAGUUUAACAAUUGCCACAAAACUAAGUUAAAAAACCACACAAACUCAAGUUCAACCAACACCCAAAUCUCAAGUUCAACAAUUGCCACAACCUCAAGUUCAAAAACAACAGAAACUCAAGUUAAAACACGCCACAAACUCAAGUUCAACAAAGACACAAACUCAAGUUCAAAAACACCACAAACCCAAGUUCAACCAACACCCAAAUCUCAAGUUUAACAAUUGCCACAAAACUAAGUUAAAAAACCACACAUACUCAAGUUCAAAAACACCACAAACUCAAGUUCAAACAUGACACAAACUCAAGUUCAACCAACACCCAAAUCUCAAGUUUAACAAUUGCCACAACCUCAAGUUCAAAAACAACAGAAACUCAAGUUCAAACACGAGACAAACUGAAGUUCAACAAACACACAAACUCAAGUUCAAUCAAUACCCAAUUCUCAAGUUUAACAAUUUCCACAACCUCAAGUUCAACAAACUCAAGUUCAAAAAUUGCAAAAAAAUCAAGUUCAAUUACGACACAAACUCAAGUUCAACCAACACCCAAAUCUCAAGUUUAACAUUUGCCAAAACCUCAAGUUCAAAAACAACACAAACUCAAGUUCAAACACGCCUAAAACUCAAGUUCAACAAACACACAAACUCAAGUUCAAAAACACCACAAAUUCAAGUUCAAACAUGUCACAAACUCAAGUUCAACAAACACAGAAACUCAAGUCAACCAAUACCCAAAUAUGAAGCUUAGCGUUAAGGGGUGUUCAGACCAAACGCGACUUCGGUGACGUCGGCGAUGGCUCCCAAUGCAAAGUCUAUGGACAGCCGCGACCUGACGCGACUUGGCGACCGCUGGCUACCUGCGUCGCGUUGCCGAAGUUGCGUUGCCGAAGUUGCGUUUCCGCGUUCGCAGGACGCCAAGUCUCGUCGCUACCAAAGUUCAAAUAUUUGAACUGGGCUGCGGGAUGUAUAUAUGAGGGAGAAAAGGAGGGAGAUGGAAGGUAGGAGAAGCGGGUCAGCAGCGACCAGCCGUGUCCUGCGACCGCAGCUUUGGACCCGGUGUGAACACACCAGAGCACCACGCGACGCGACCUGGUCGCGGCUGCAAUUACACCUAAUCCGCGGAGCCAAAUCCUUGCAGGUACUGACAUUAGUCUUGCUGUGCUCAGACUACAAUGAUAGACGCAUUGUGGAUUGCGGAGAUGAGCCUGUGAUGCUUAAAUAUCGUGAUGCCCGGCUGUUUAAAUCUCCGACCUUGGCUGAAUUCAUAGCUUUCAGCGUAUUUGUAGAUGUCAUAUGUAAAGUGUUUUCAGCACGCAGAACUGAACUGGACACAUAUCUCGCCAUUAUUUCUGAUUCAGCCAUGACAUAGGGAGGAUCAUUAUUCUAGGAACAUUACAAAUCAUUUUCAGCAAAGCUGCUAAGUACAUUCAAAGAUUCAGCCAAAGACUUGAUCAGUCCGUAGUCGACCUGGCUCUAAUCAGUUAACAAUUCACCGAGCAUCAAGCUUUUUCCUGCUUAAUCUGCGGGUCUUUCUCUCACCUGGAGGUGAAAGUAAGCCAUUACGCAGCAGUACGCCAUUUCGGGAAGACAUAAUCAGCUGUUUAAAGUUUUCACCCCUGUCAUGUAUCUAGGCUUAGUCUGUUGCUGCACAUCAGUCUGCACUCUGCGUUAUAACCGAAGUAAUCCAAUAGGACCAUGCCGCUUGAGAGUGAGUGGUAUUUGCUUACAAAUAAACUCCAAGUGGGAGCACCAGUGCGCACUUUUGAUUGGACGCUGGUUGCCUAGGUGCAGGGGCCCGCCUUCCGCCUUUUGCAGAAGGAGGGAACUUUUAAAGAGUCAGCUGCUUCAAUCUUAAUGCAGAAAUAAGACAAAAUGCAGAGGAAAAUAAUAAUAAUAAUAAUAAUAAUAAUAAUAAUUUUAUGUUUAAGAGAGAGAUACAGCAGAUGAUGAUACUGUGGCAUCGGAGUCAGCAACUCGCUUAACUUGGGUGUGCUCCUCUUGUACAAAGUCUACGGGUACAGUACCUGGAGGAACCUUAUCCUACCUUGUCCACCCCUGCCCACACCUCUAAUCGGUGCCCUAAAACUGUGGCUACAUGCCAACCACCCAAGCCUCUCUAAGCCUACUACUCGGAGAAGCCAAGUUACUCCAGGGACGGGCAUCUGAAAUCAGCAUGCCCAUGACGCACCCACCUGGUAAAACGGGAAAGAACAAAGCUGUCUACUCUGUCAAAUGUCCUUGAGCCGGGGAAGGCACUGGCAAAGCAUCCCAACGGCUGUUCGUGAAGCCAUUCAUUCAGACUGUGUUAGUCUGAGUGCAGCCUUGCAAUCCUUAGUGCUCUCUGUUGACAGCUACUUGAGAGCUGGUUAAGCAAAAUCAGCAUUAAAGUUUAUACGAUUCUGCAUGGUCUCACUUUACCUCUUUUGUACCACCUUCUCUGUAGCCCCAACGCCCUAAAUAUAUCCAUUGUAUGUGCUUUAAUAGUCCACAGUUUUGAAUCUCGCACUUUUCUUUUUUUUUCUAAUAUUUCCAAAACUAACUCUGUCUUUGUUCUUUAUCCUCCAUGUCCCGCUGCCUGAGAGGCCGGCCACUGGCCAGCCAGCAAGAGUCUCUCUUUGCCACUGAAGAAGGGAAACCUAUAUCCAGAUUGCAGCUUUCUGCUCACCUCUGCCUGCUCUGCCAAUCCUGUUGGCUCCUACCUGAGUACAACUCUACGCAUUCACCACGCAUAGGCACAGCUACAACUGCAUCUUCCAUCGUCCCCGUCUCGACGCUCAAGGCUACGGGUCAAUGGUCCCGAUCAGCCUUUGAAUGAUACCUCAGGCCCAAGGCUAAUAUAUUAUUAUUAUUAGAAUAUUCCUAUGCUCGAUUAGCUACAAAAAAAAAAUUGCUGCUGCUCCUUAAUUCUUUCCCAUAUCUAUUGCAUUACGCAUAUUCCCAACUAUAAAUUUGUGUAUGGAUUAAAUUAAUCCUGAUCCAUGAUCAUGUUGUGAGGGUAACCAAUACUAUGCAAGCUUUGUAGGUGGGUAGGUUGCUUCAUAGUUUCUCGCUGCUGGCUGCCCUCCCUCCCCUGUAGGUGCCUUCAUGUAGCUCAUGAAAGCUGGGGAGGGUUGCCAGUAUGGCUGCUGCUUUUUCUGCCUUGGCUUUUCAUAUAUGCACAUGAAAGGGAGGGGAGGGCAUUCCCUCUCAUUGCCUUGGGAUUCUAUGCAAGCGCAUGAGAGAGCAGGGAACUCUCAGAACAGAGCCAUACCGACAAUGUUAAAAAAAUUUUUGCUAGUAAUAAAUAAUUGAUUCUAACUAAAGUAGUCCUGACUGAAAUUAAGCAUGGCUGUAGUUCAGGCAGGACACAAGGUACAGUCAAGCUAAAGGUUAAAGCCAGCUGAUCUUAAGCUAGCCCUCAGUCAGAUGACAGCUUAGCUGAUCGCCCUCCACACAUCCUUCAGAUCGCUACACGGCUCAUUCCUUUCACAUAGGUGUAGCUACAACCGGAGCUAUGACGGCUCCUGUGUCGACCCUCAAAGCCAUGGGCCAAUAGUCGUCAGCUGCGUACAAACGCUAUCUGCGCCCCGAGGCUCGGGACAUUCUCGAAGCCCAAAAACUAUGAGUACCCAUAACUUUGGCACAUAGAUGCUAAUUAAAUGAAAUAUAUAAACAACCUGCAGAUAAAUAUCCAUGCUUGGGCAACGGGUCUCUCUAACCCGUCUUUCUUUCAGCAGCGCUCACCUCCCCUGCUAGCUCCUAGACUGCACGGCAUGGUUGUUUUGGGGGGGUUCUGUUCAUUGCUGCUCUACCCCUGCCUCCUCCGCCUUCAUGAUGGCACGUGGAGGGCGGGAAGGUGCUCUUCCUGCCGCUGGCCUUUCACCCCUGCCAACGUGGAGAACGGGGGCCCUGAACAGAACCUCGCGUGCGCUCCCUGCUAUCGCCUUUCAUGAUGGCUCGUGAAAGGCAGGAAGGGGCUCUUCCUGCCUUGGGCUUCCACACAAGCGCGUGGAAGGGCAGGGACCCGGAACAGAAUCAUGCCGCCAAAUCUAACUUGCACAAUAAAGCUAAAAAUUUGGACAAAGUGUACCUGACUGAAAUGAAGCAUAGCGUUAGUUCUGUCAGGACACAACGUCAAGCGCUGAUCCACAGCCAAUGGCUAGUAGCCACCUCAACCAGAUGAUAAUCAGCUGAUUCACACCUAGAUCCUAUUGGUUCUUUGCCUAUAGAGUGCCUUAUUUAAAACUGCACUAACCCAGCCUCUUCCUCUGCUCUGACAGCAAACCAGCAACACACUGCCACACCAGCUCCACCCUCGUGCCAGCUAAUUGCUCCGCUGUCCUUAAAGCGCUCCUGUUCCAGGGGGGUUUUGUUCAUUGCUGCUCUACCCCCGCCACCUCCGCCUUCAUGAUGGCUCGAGGAGGGCGAGUUUAACAAUUUCCACAACCUCAAGUUCAAAAAGAACACAAACUCAAGUUCAAACGCGCCACGAACUCAAGUUCAACAAACAAACAAACUCAAACUCAAGUUCAAAAACACCAGAAACUCAAGUUCAACCAACACCCAAUUCUCAAGUUCAACAAUUUCCACCAACUCAAGUUCAAAAACACCACAAAGUCAAGUUCAAACAAGACACAAACUGAAGUUCAAUGAACACCACAUACAUAAGUUCAACAAAUGUCAAAGUUUUAAGUUCAACCAACACCCAAAUCUAAAGUUUAACAAUUGCCGAAGCCUCAAGUAAGAAAAACAACAAAAAUUCAGGUUAAAACACGCCACAAACUCAAGCUCAACACCGCCACAAACUCAAGUUAAAAAGCACCACAAACCAAAGUUCAAACAUGACACAAACUCAAGUUCAACCAAAUCCCAAAUCUCAAGUUUGACAAUUGCCACAACCUCAAGUUCAAAAACAACAGAAACUCAAGUCAAAACACGCCACAAACUCAAGUUAAACAAACACACAAACUCAAGUUCAAAAACACCACAAACUCAAGUUCAAAAACACCCAAAUCUCAAGUUUAACAAUUGCCACAAACUUAAAUUCAAAAAACACACAAAAAUUCAAACUAAAGUUCAGGGAAAAAUACAGACUCAAGUUCAACAAUUGCCACAAACUCAAGUUCAACAAACACCACAAUCUUAAGUUCAAAAAAUGCCAAAAUUUCAAAUUCAACAAAUGACCUAAACUCACAUUUAACAAUUGCCAAAAACUCAAGUUCUUCAAACUCAAGUUCAAAAAUUGCAACAACCUCAAGUUCAAAAAACACACACAUUUAAGUUCAAAAAAACCCCAAACUCAAGUUAAAAAAAACACAAAAAUUCAAGUUCAAAAACACCACAAACUCAAGUUAAAUGAACACCACAAAGUCAAGUUCAACAAAUGUCAAAGUUUUAAGUUCAACCAACACCCAAAUCUAAAGAUUAACAAUUGCCAAAACCUCAAGUUAAAAAACAACACAAACUCAAGUUCAACAAACGCCACAAACUCAAGUUCAACAAUUGCCACCAACUAAAGUUCACUAAAAACCAAAGACUCAAGUUCAACAAUUGCCAAAAAAUCAAGCGAAACAAACUCAAGUUCAUAAGUUGUCACAAACUUCAAACACGACACAAACUCAAGUUCAAA